ensembl:lncRNA
CAAAAUCAACCAAUAAAACAGGGUUUGGAAACUUGAUGACAAAGUGCUUACUUUUGCCCUAUAAGACUGCAGCCAGUAGUUGUGAAAGAAACAAAAAAGUGAGACAGUUGUAAAACUGUCAUCCUUUCAUUCGUUCACAGUUCCACAUUUUGGACUCAAAGAAGUCAGAGAUGCAACCAUGUCUUUUGUUGUGAUGGUGGCACUGCUGUUCUGUUCUGAGACACUGGAUAGGAAACUUUCUAAUUAAACGGUCACAUCCUGUGUUUGGAGAGGAGGAUAAUAUAACUCAUGAUCUUGUGGAGGCUGACUUUGAUAUUAGUGACUGGACUGCAAUUGCAAAUCUGAGCGACAUGUUCAUGGAAACUGGAGACUAUUAUGAUUAUGGUGACUGGCAGUGGAAAGCAGAUCCUUUGUCUCCAGUUAACCUGACAGUGGACUCAGUGUCCAGCAGCUCAGACUCCUGUAACCUUACUGUGAGCUGUAGUACAAAUUACUUUGACAUCAUCAGCAUUUUUAAAUGUGAUAGCAAAACCUGCUAUCAAGAGGGAGGAGAACAAAGAGAGGAAAUGUGGUGGCCCACUGCUUUUUUUCAUGUCUACCUGUCAGAUAGAUCCAUCAUAUGUAACCAUAGCAAUACAGUAAAUUGGACCAAGGACAUGAUAGAGAUGGAUCAUUUUUGCCCUCAAAAUACUGGCUCUGAGAGUUUCUCUGACGGUGUCUCCUUCUGUAUGGUGAAGACAGUCGUGUUCUCUGUUGGUCUGAUCAUCAUGGUCUUUGCUGUCAUCAGUGUUCACCUCAUAGAGAAACUUCAGAUGCAAAACUAAACAAGUAGUUCUCUGUGAACCAGUUUCACAGAUCACACACACACACACACACACAAAAAACAGUUCACUUGCUGUUAAUUUCAUUAACAUCAAAGCAGCUGAAACAGAUUAACAACCCCCCUGCUGCUUAACUGAUGACAUCACUAUCCUAAUUGUUUAAUUGACUGGAUAUUUAGAAAGGAAUGUAGGGAGUAAUGGGGGGAGACAUGUGGCAAAGGGCCGCUACAUGUGGCAUGUGGCUGCCUGCUGAGCUAAACUGGCACCCAAAUUUAGUUUUUUACUAAUUUAAUGUAAAAUAAGCAAUUUUUUCAUAUUCUGUUAGAGAAAUUAAUGAGUGACACAGUUUGGAUCUGUUUUGAUUUUGUGUGUGUGUGCGUGUGUGUGCGUGUGUGUGUGUGGGGGGGGGUGUUUGUGUUGCAGGUUGUGAGUCUUUAUCAUCUGUGUGGUGAAGAUAGUCGUAUUUGCAUUUGGUCUGAUCAUCGUGUUGCUUGUCAGCACUGUAGAGAAAUUUAAGAAAGAAAAAUAAACAGUGCAAACUUUAAGCUAUAACUUUUUUUGAAGGGAUCUGUGUUUUCUUUAAUUUAUACAGUGCAAAGAGAUCAUCAAUAUCAUUUUGAAAUUUCAGGAAUUUGCAAAUGUUUUAUGAGAAUUGCAGUACAUGUUUUAAAAUCGCUAAUAGAAAAUUCACUUAUCACAUUUUCAUUUUACACAUUUGAAUGUCAAUGCAAAUUUGCUUUAAAAGAACUCCACAAAGCAUUUAUGAUAAAUGUGCUAAUUAUUUUUGAUGAAAUAAUCAAAAGUCAAGACUCUGCAUCACAUUGUGAAUAAAUGCUUGUUAAUCCUGAUAAAGCUGUUUUCUGAGUUUUUAUAUUGAAAGUAAACACAAAAGUAUAAAUGAUUCCUUUUCCCAAAAGCAGGUUUAAGGUGUUUCUUCAGUGUGAG